rnacentral:rRNA from 1 species
CCUACGGGUGGCAGCAGUGGGGAAUAUUGGACAAUGGGCGAAAGCCUGAUCCAGCCAUGCCGCGUGUGUAAAGAAGGCCUUCGGGUUGUAAAGCACUUUCAGUGGGGAAGAAAGCCUUGGGGCUAAUACCCUCGAGGAAGGACAUCACCCACAGAAGAAGCACCGGCUAACUCCGUGCCAGCAGCCGCGGUAAUACGGAGGGUGCGAGCGUUAAUCGGAAUUACUGGGCGUAAAGCGCGCGUAGGCGGUCUGAUAAGCCGGUUGUGAAAGCCCCGGGCUCAACCUGGGAACGGCAUCCGGAACUGUCAGGCUAGAGUGCAGGAGAGGAAGGUAGAAUUCCCGGUGUAGCGGUGAAAUGCGUAGAGAUCGGGAGGAAUACCAGUGGCGAAGGCGGCCUUCUGGACUGACACUGACGCUGAGGUGCGAAAGCGUGGGUAGCAAACAGGAUUAGAUACCCUAGUAGUC